GUGGCAGACGGGUGAGUAAUGCAUAGGAAUCUGCCCAGUAGUAUGGGAUAGCCACUAGAAAUGGUGGGUAAUACUGUAUACGCCCUGCGGGGGAAAGAUUUAUCGCUACUGGAUGAGCCUAUGUUAGAUUAGCUAGUUGGUAGGGUAAAGGCCUACCAAGGCAGUGAUCUAUAGCUGGUCUGAGAGGAUGAUCAGCCACACUGGAACUGAGAUACGGUCCAGACUCCUACGGGAGGCAGCAGUGGGGAAUAUUGGACAAUGGGCGCAAGCCUGAUCCAGCUAUGCCGCGUGAGUGAGGAAGGCCUUAGGGUUGUAAAACUCUUUCAGCGGGGAAGAUAAUGACGGUACCCGCAGAAGAAGUCCCGGCAAACUCCGUGCCAGCAGCCGCGGUAAUACGGAGGGGGCAAGCGUUGUUCGGAAUUAUUGGGCGUAAAGGGCAUGUAGGCGGUUUGGUGAGUUAAAGGUGAA
rnacentral:rRNA from 1 species